GACUCACCUGUGGGCAUCUUUAGCCAAGACAUCCAGCAGCUGAGCAAAUGAGCGCUCCUUAGAAGCAGGAGGAGGAAAUGGAUGUGGGCAGGAAAUCCCUUCACCCACCACACUGUGGUCCCUGUAGUAGGCACAACUAAAGUAUCACGGAAAUUAAGAAGGGAAUAAGGAAGCUUUUCCAGGAUGUGCUGCCAUAACUUCCUAUAACUCCAUCUCUGCUUUACUUCGGAAUACCAUGAGAAUCAGCAAUUUCUAAAAACUGCUUUCUAAACGUUGAUGCCCACAAGUCCUCAAGUCGGGACCCACAAAAGGAUAGAAGAGCAAAGAGAAGUGGAGCUCCUACAGUUCACUUUAUCAUGCAAAGGAGGCUGAGUCAAGAGACUCCAGAAUUCUUCAAGAGGAUUUGAACUAAAUUAAUUUCAUUUGGCUUCAAAUUACUGAGGUAAGGCUACUACGUAUGGCUGUGCACAAUGACCUUGCAAUGAAGCCUUUCACAGCAUCUGCCUCUUCAAUUUUUACUGUCAGUGAAGGACUAAAAAUCCAUACUUUGAACCUGAAGUGUUCUCUGCAUAAGUAGAUCUCAAGCAUGCUGCCUGUUCCUAUAUAUCCGCAAAUUUCUAUGAGCAAAGAAAUUGGCAAGUCAUUGUCACCCUCUGGGUCAGCCAAGGAAACAUGUUCUCAUCCCUGGAAACCCAUACAAUAGUCUUCUAAUCUCUUCAUAGAGUGUCAACUUGGCAAAAGAGAUCCCAGUGUACCAGCAGCAUCCAUAACACUGAUUGUAGGAUCCUCAAACAAGAGAUUUCUCUCUUUACUCAUAAAAACAUGGAAUGAAUGCAUUCGUGAAGUCGACUCUGUAUAUAUGCCAUCUUAUAAAUGAAAUAAUUCUUGUCAAAUUACUCAGUGACAUUUUAUGGGUUUCAAGAAAGAGUGAAACUUCUGCCCAAAGAUCAGUGAAGCACAUCAAGAUACGACCUCUAAGAUGUCAGUAAACUUCUAUGAAUUCGAUAAGAAUGUUUAUUUUGUCCCAUUUAUUUCCAAGAUGAUGAUUUAUGGCCCCAGUUCUCACAUUGUUAGCCACUUUCGUGGAAGGAGAAGAGGCUUAUUUCAGGAUUUCCGGCAGUAUUAUUUUUAUUACAAUGUAUACCGAUGUAGAAAAGUCUUAAACCACAAUGGUAAGUGAAGCUUUUUUCUUCACAAAAGUCAUGAAGGAUAAAGGCUGCCAAGCUCUUAAGGUGUUACAUCACGCACAAAAUACCAAGAAUUUCAUCCAGACCAAAUUUUGCUUGGCAAAGAAAUUUAUACUAUUUAAAGACCUUUGAAUAUUCCCAAAGAGAUGGACAAAAAUAGGAAUUCUUCCUUAAUGACAUUAGUGUGCACAUAGAUGAAAAUCAGAAGCUGCCUUCACUCAGAGACAAGAGCAAUCUGUUUCAAUUGUUGCCAAGUCUUCUAGGACCUUCUUCUAAGUUAUAAAAUAAAUGUCCAUAAUUCUGGAGUUGAUGACACUGAUUGACCAAGGCACUGGUUCGUAUUUUUCUCUUGCUCCUAAUUAUAAAUCAUCCAUCACUUCACCAAGUUCUUUCAGAUCGUGGCUUCCUUCAUUACGGGAUGCUCUGAGCAGGAUUCCACACAAAGUCUUAAUGUUGCCACAAAUCUGAGAUUUUUUUCAAAUUUCCUUCAUUUCAAACUGAAAAUUAUUCUCAUGGAGAAGAUGUGUGCAAGUCAAUAUAUUUUCAAGCUUGGAAACCCUUGUUAUUUCAAAUACUUCUGGCACUCUCUACCUCGCUAAUGUCUCAACCAGCCAGUGCUGCCUAACCCUUUCUCCUCCAACCAUUACUUCUGGGAGAGAGCACCUGGUAUAUUAACUUCUAUUUUGACAACCUGCAGGCUCCCAGGUAUUGCUGAUGCUGCUGGUCCAAGGAGAACACUGAGUCGCAGGCCCAAGAUCAGUGCUAUUUAACAG
ensembl:lncRNA